rnacentral:rRNA from 1 species
GACGAACGCUGGCGGCGUGCUUAACACAUGCAAGUCGAACGGAAAGGCCCUGCUUGCAGGGUACUCGAGUGGCGAACGGGUGAGUAACACGUGGGUGAUCUGCCCUGCACUUCGGGAUAAGCCUGGGAAACUGGGUCUAAUACCGGACAGGAGCCAUUCUUAGUGUGAUGGUUGGAAAGUUUUUUCGGUGUAGGAUGAGCUCGCGGCCUAUCAGCUUGUUGGUGGGGUAAUGGCCUACCAAGGCGGCGACGGGUAGCCGGCCUGAGAGGGUGGACGGCCACAUUGGGACUGAGAUACGGCCCAGACUCCUACGGGAGGCAGCAGUGGGGAAUAUUGCACAAUGGGCGCAAGCCUGAUGCAGCGACGCCGCGUGGGGGAUGACGGCCUUCGGGUUGUAAACUCCUUUCGCUAGGGACGAAGCUUUUUGUGACGGUACCUAGAUAAGAAGCACCGGCUAACUACGUG